AGCCUUGUUUGAUAGCCAAGGAUGACUUGCCUUGCUUCUAAAGAAAGGUCUCUCAAGUUUAACUUAGCUACAUGUACAGCAAGAAUCCUUGUGCAGGUUCUAGGGCAAGUCGUCUUGGGCUAUCUUGACAGGCUCU
rfam:Citrus clementina cultivar Clemenules unplaced genomic scaffold scaffold_8, whole genome shotgun sequence.